UACGUAGGGUGCGAGCGUUGGCCGGAAUUAUUGGGCGUAAAGAGCUUGUAGGCGGUUUGUCGCGUCUGCUGUGAAAUUCCAGGGCUUAACCCUGGGCUUGCAGUGGGUACGGGCAGACUAGAGUGUGGUAGGGGAGACUGGAAUUCCUGGUGUAGCGGUGAAAUGCGCAGAUAUCAGGAGGAACACCGAUGGCGAAGGCAGGUCUCUGGGCCACUACUGACGCUGAGAAGCGAAAGCAUGGGGAGCGAACAGG
rnacentral:rRNA from 1 species